AAUAAGUACAGUUUUGUACUGUUUAUGUACAACGUUUGACCGUUCGUCUUAUUUGAAAAUUUUUUAUGAUUAAUAUUUUUAUUGUUAUUAGAAGAUAAAACAUGAAUAGUACUUUAUGUAUGACUAAUUUUUUUAUUUUUUUCACAAAUUUUUCAAAUAAGACGGACGGUCAAACGUUGGACACGGAUACCCACGAUUGCACUUAUU
rfam:Oryza rufipogon genomic scaffold, chr07